UCAAGGUGAGAGAUACGGAGGUAGAGCACUGAAUGUCCUAGGGGGUAUUGCACCUACCGAAGACUAUCAAACUCCGAAUGCCGUCAUCUUAUACUUGGGAGUCAGACUGUGGGUGAUAAGAUUCAUAGUCGAAAGGGCAACAGCCCAGAUCGUCAGCUAAGGUCCCUAAAUGUAAGUUAAGUGGUAAAGGAUGUGGGAUUGCACAGACAACCAGGAUGUUGGCUUAGAAGCAGCCACUCAUUCAAAGAGUGCGUAAUAGCUCACUGGUCGAGUGAUCCUGCGCCGAAGAUUUCCGGGGCUAAAACUUACUACCGAAGCUACGGCAUCAGUAAUGAUGGGUAGGGGAGCUUCCCAUACGGGUUGAAGCAUGACCGUAAGGACAUGUGGACAGUAUGGGAGUGAGAAUGUUGGCAUGAGUAGCGAGAUGUGGGUGAGAAUCCCACAGGCCGUAAACCCAAGGUUUCCAGGGGAAGGUUCGUCCGCCCUGGGUUAGUCGGGACCUAAGCUGAGGCCGAAAGGCGUAGGUGAUGGACAACAGGUUGAUAUUCCUGUACUACCGAUAACCGUUUGAGAGAAGGGAUGACACAGUAGGAUAAGCUAAGCACACUGUUGGUUAUGUGUGCCCAAGCAUUGAGGCAGUCAAAGUAGGCAAAUCCGCUUUGAUAAUGCUGGGAUGUGAUGGGGAGCGAAAUUUAGUAGCGAAGUAGCUGAUUUCACACUGUCAAGAAAAGUCUCUAUCGAGGUUAAAGGUACCCGUACCGCAAACCGACACAGGUGGGUGAGGAGAGUAUCCUAAGGCCAGCGAGAGAACUGUUGUUAAGGAACUCGGCAAAAUGACCCCGUAACUUAGGGAUAAGGGGUGCCACCAUCAGGUGGCCGCAGAGAAUAGGCCCAAGCGACUGUUUACCAAAAACAUAGGUUUCUGCUAAGUCGCAAGACGAUGUAUAGGAGCUGACGCCUGCCCGGUGCUGGAAGGUUAAGGGGAUCUGUUAGAGCAAUCGAAGCAGUGAACUUAAGCCCCAGUAAACGGCGGCCGUAACUAUAACGGUCCUAAGGUAGCGAAAUUCCUUGUCGGGUAAGUUCCGACCCGCACGAAAGGCGUAACGAUUUGGGCACUGUCUCAACAACAGACUCGGUGAAAUUGUAAUUCCGGUGAAGAUGCCGGAUACCUGCGACAGGACGGAAAGACCCCAUGGAGCUUUACUGUAGCUUGACAUUGGGUCUUGGUACUACAUGUACAGGAUAGGUGGGAGGCUUUGAAACCAGGACGCCAGUUUUGGCGGAGCCAUCCUUGGGAUACCACCCUUGUAGUACUGGGACUCUAACCAUAGGCCAUGAAUCUGGUCUUGGGACACUGUCAGGCGGGCAGUUUGACUGGGGCGGUCGCCUCCCAAAAGGUAACGGAGGCGCUCAAAGGUUCUCUCAGUACGGUCGGAAAUCGUACGUAGAGUGUAAAGGCAAAAGAGAGCUUGAUUGCAAGACAUACAGGUCGAGCAAGGAUGAAAAUCGGACUUAGUGAUCCGGUGGUUCUGCGUGGAAGGGCCAUCGCUCAACGGAUAAAAGCUACCCUGGGGAUAACAGGCUUAUCUCCCCCAAGAGUCCACAUCGACGGGGAGGUUUGGCACCUCGAUGUCGGCUCAUCACAUCCUGGGGCUGUAGUAGGUCCCAAGGGUUGGGCUGUUCGCCCAUUAAAGUGGUACGCGAGCUGGGUUCAGAACGUCGUGAGACAGUUCGGUCCCUAUCCGUCGCAGGCGUAGGAAAUUUGAGAAGACCUGUCCUUAGUACGAGAGGACCGGGAUGGACGUACCUCUGGUGUACCAGUUGUCCUGCCAAGGGCAUGGCUGGGUAGCUAUGUACGGAAUGGAUAAGCGCUGAAAGCAUCUAAGCGCGAAGCCAACUUCAAGAUAAGAUUUCCCACCGCAAGGGUAAGACCCCAGAAAGACUAUCUGGUUGA
rnacentral:rRNA from 1 species